UUUUUUUUCUUUCUUUCUUUUUAGCCACUCCAUGCUGGCAGCAUGUAAAAGGUCCUAGCAAUGACUCAAGCCACAGCAGUGACAAUGCUGGAUCCUUAACCCACUGAGCCAUAAGAGAAAUCUGGGGGCUCUCUUUAGAACGGAGCUUUUUCCCAGCUCGUUUAACCUAAGGGACCCUUUUCCCCCUCAAAUUCUCUCUAGGUUCAGAGAGGAUGUACAGUGUGGGAAAGAUAGUUGUGCUGGUCAGGGCUAUGCUUCAGAAAGUCUAUUUUAUGUAUUAUAAAUAUAGAAAAGACAUUACAACAGGGACUGCAAACACUGAGAACUAAAGUUUAAAAUAGGAAUAAUGGGGCCCUCUGCAAGGGAUCCACACCAGGAGGAUUAAAUCACAUCCUACAUGGCCACCAAACUAUCCUUUACCCUUUCAAGUGGCAUCUGUGAACAACGUGGUACUCUUUAACGUGUGCUGUCGGCACAGGCCUCACAGAACAGCCUGUGCUCCUGCCAGGUGAGGAUAAGGACCAUAAGCUGCCCCAGAGAGCCGUCCACCACCAUCAAAAUCAAAAGAGAAGAGGAGGGGAGUUCCCAUGGUGGCUCAACAGGUUACAAACCUGACUAGUAUCCCUGAGGAUACAGGUUCCAUCUGUAGCCUUACGCAGUGGGUUAAGGAUCUGGCUUUGCUGCAAGCUGCAGUGUAGGUCACAGAAGCACGGAUCCCACGCUGCUGUAGCUAUGGUGCUGGCCAGCAGCUGUAGCUCUCAUUCGACCCCUAGCCUGGGAACUUCUAUAUGCUGCACCCUUAAAAAAAGAAAAAGAAAGGCGUUCCCAUCAUGGCGCAGUGGUUAACGAAUCCAACUAGAACCAUGAGGUUAUUUUUUUGAUAGCCAUUAUAUUCACAGCCCACGUAAUACAUUAAAGGGGGGAGAAUGCAACGCCAAGUUCUACGAAAUUUAUAUAACUUCAGAUGCAGCUUCAGAUGCGAUGUAAAUUACAUGAAAUUUACAGACCAAAGGAAGGCGCGAAAGGAAUGCAGGAAGUUUACAAUUAAGAGUGACUCAAAGAGAGCUCUGCGAUUAAAACCAGCAAAGUCGAUGGCAGGAAACCCGAGAGGGCCUGCCCCAGCCCUCAGAUGGAUUCCCCUGCAGGUUUGCCUCCAAGAAGGGGCCCGAACAGAGAUAGAGGCUUCUAUCUGUUUCAGCAGAGAUGUAGGUCAGUGUGUCAUUUCUUCAAAGAGGUGAGUCAGGAUCAGAGCAGCCGGUAAUUCACCGGCAGGAGAGAGGAGAGCUAAAUUAAAGGGGCCUCUCUAGGGUCCGGCACUCCCCUAAGACUUCAAUCUUUCCUACCCUGCGAGUGAAGCAGAUCGCUUCUCCCCCUCUCCGACUUCCCCUCUCCAACUGUCCUAUAAAUCGGUCCUGUGUUUCCCAACCCCAGAAGGGGUGGUAACUCACGCAGAGCAAAAUGCCAGUAAGGACAAAUUUAGAACAUGGGUUAAACAAUACUCUGAUCAAACCUCCAGCAAGAGCCCCGAAGAGACAGAGGGGGAGAGAGCAAGAGCCCAGCUCUCCUUGCGACUGAAUUCUAUGCUCUAAUUCAGAGCAGUAUAAUUAACCCCGAGUUUCACUGCUCACACUGAACUUUUUCAGCCUGAUGAGAAUAUCAUUUAGAAUCCUGCCAUCGCCAAUAAUAGCAAUAUGACACAAUGGCGCCCAUUGAGGCCCUAAUCAGGGCGCGUAGUCAUUUACAUAGAACAUUUUCUGUGACUCUGUGUAAUACAACGCCACAAAGACACGAUUGAGACACAAGUCUCUCUUUCCCAUAAACGAAAAAAGAAAAAAGGAAAGAAAGAAACCACAAUUUCCUUUACAGGACAGCACAGAUGGUCCCCACCCUUCCCGAGGGUUCUCCAGGCCCGGGCACUUGACAAGAAACUGCUCAUCCUGAUGCUGUGACCAGAAACCAGACGCUGGCGCAUGACCGGGGGUGGACGUUGGCCUAAUCUCUUCACACAGGAAAAGGAGAUCUGGGGUGUUUUAGGAAAACCCUGGGCUUAAUAAAACAGAGCAAGGGAGGCUGGAGGGGCCGGGCUGGAUUAACAGCUUUCAAAUCCAAGCUCCAACUUCGCCGGCUUCCCCAGGGUGCCUCACACGGCCUUGGAUUCGGCCCAGGAGAAACGGGCCACUGUCCCAUCCUGUGGCCCACACGGUGCCAUGGGCCACAAAGUGAGCCUGAGAGGAGGUGUCUGGAGGCCAUACAUCACCAGGGAAGGGCAGUGCACAGGGACGCACAGUCACUGUGCUGAGAAAACAGCAGGAUUCGGAAGCUGGAUGGACCAGAACCGGCACCAUCCCUUAGACUUUGAGCAUUUACUUAACCGCUCAGAGCCUUUGUUUCCUCCUCUGACAAAUGUGCUUUGAAGACUGUGCAGGGAGGCAGAUUCUAACACAGCAUCUGAAACAUGUGACACUCUGCACAGCAUAAAAAGGGCAACCAUUAUGAGUAGAGCCAUUGCCAUUACUCUUUUUUGAUUGUUUGUUUUUUGGGGUU
ensembl:lncRNA